rnacentral:sRNA from 1 species
ACUGAGCACCGAGGGGCAGUUGGCAGCUUCACCUCAGAGCUGCAGGAAGGAACGGGGCAGUGAAAAUCGAGUCGGGUGUGAUCCUAGGCCAAGCUCAUGGCCCAGCAGGGCCAGCAGGGGCAGAUGGCAAGUGGAGACAGCAAUCUCAACUUCAGGAUGGUCGCAGAGAUCCAGAACGUAGAGGGUCAGAUGCAGGAGCAGGUUUGCCCUGAGCCCAUUUUCAGGUUCUUCAGAGAAAACAAGGUGGAGAUUGCAAGUGCAAUAACAAGGCCAUUUCCUUUCCUUAUGGGCCUCCGAGACCGCUCCUUCAUCUCCGAGCAGAUGUAUGAACAUUUUCAAGAAGCUUUUAGAAACCUGGUCCCAGUGACAAGAGUGAUGUAUUGUGUACUCAGUGAACUGGAGAAGACAUUUGGCUGGUCACAUCUGGAAGCAUUGUUCAGCAGGAUUAACCUGAUGGCCUAUCCUGAUUUAAACGAGAUUUACAGAAGCUUCCAAAAUGGUAACUAUAGCUCUCAACAGCUUUGGGGGAUUCAAGCCCAUUUCAUUCAUUGAUUCAUUCAUUCACUCUUCAUUCAUAUUUGACAAAUGUUUGACUGAGUGACUAUUACAUGCCAAGCCCAGGGGGAAUAUAAUGAUG